AACGAACGCUGGCGGCAGGCUUAACACAUGCAAGUCGAGCGCCCCGCAAGGGGCGCGGCAGUCGGGUGAGUAACGCGUGGGAAUCUACCCAUCUCUACGGAAUAAUGCAUGGACACGUGUGCUAAUACCGUAUAAGUCCUUCGGGAGAAAGAUUUAUCGGAGAUGGAUGAGCCCGCGUUGGAUUAGCGAGUUGGUGGGGUAAAGGCCUACCAAGGCGACGAUCCAUAGCUGGUCUGAGAGGAUGAUCAGCCACACUGGGACUGGGACACGGCCCAGGCUCCUACGGGAGGCAGCAGUGGGCAAUAUUGGACAAUGGGCGCAAGCCUGAUCCAGCCAGGCCGCGUGAGUGAUGAAGGCCCUAGGGUUGUAAAGCACUUUCACCGGUGAAGAGGAUGACGGGAACCGGAGAAGAAGCCCCGGCGAACUUCGGGCCAGCCGCCGCGGUAAAAC
rnacentral:rRNA from 1 species